rnacentral:rRNA from 1 species
GAUGAACGCUAGCGGGAGGCUUAACACAUGCAAGUCGAGGGGCAGCAUAGGGUAGCAAUACUCUGAUGGCGACCGGCAAACGGGUGAGUAACGCGUAUGCAACCUACCCUGUACAGGGGGAUAACCCGGAGAAAUUCGGACUAAUAUCCCGUAAUAAUAUCCGGAGGCAUCUUUGGAUAUUUAAAGUUCCGACGGUACGGGAUGGGCAUGCGUAACAUUAGCUGGUUGGUAAGGUAACGGCUUACCAAGGCUACCUGAUGUUUAGGGGUCCUGAGAGGGUGGUCCCCCACACUGGUACUGAGACACGGACCAGACUCCUACGGGAGGCAGCAGUGAGGAAUAUUGGUCAAUGGGCGCAAGCCUGAACCAGCCAUCCCGCGUGCAGGAAGACGGCCCUAUGGGUUGUAAACUGCUUUUCCAGGGAGAGAAACUUACGCACGUGUUGCGUGACUGACGGUACCCUGGGAAUAAGCAUCGGCUAACUCCGUGCCAGCAGCCGCGGUAAUCACGAG